GUUUUGGUGAUGGUGAUGUGUUUGUAGAUCUUACUUUACUAAACAUUCUUGCUGCUUACAAUUAUCUCUAUCUAUAACAGUACUUUCUGUGGAAAAUGUUAUUGAAAAUCUUCAAAUUUUAAGAAAAUUGUUAAAAAUUGGCUAUAAAGGGCAAUAACUCCUUAGGGGGUCAAUUGACUAUUUUGGUCAUACUGACUUAUUUUUAGUUCUUACUUUGCUGUACAUUAUUGCUGUUUACAGUUUAUCUCUAUCUAUAAUAAUAUUCAAGAUAAUAACAAAAAAACAGCAAAAUUUCCUCAAAAUUACCAAUUCAGGGACAGCAACCUAACAACCGAUUAUCCAAUUCAUCUGAAAAUUCCAGGGCAGAUAGAUCUUGACCUGAUCAACAAUUUUACUUCCUGUCAGAUUUGCUCUAAAUGCUUUGGUUUUUGAGUUAUAAGCCAAAAACUGCAUUUUACCCCCAUGUUCUAUUUUUAGCCAUGGCGGCCAUCUUGGUUUGUUGGCCGAGUUACCGGACACCUUUUUUUAACUAGAUACCCCAAUGAUGAUUAUGGCUAAAUUUGGUUAAAUUUGGCCCAGUAGUUUCAGAGGAGAAGAUUUUUGUAAAAGAUUACUGAGAUUUACGAAAAAUGGUUAAAAAUUUACUAUAAAGGGCAAUAACUCCUAAAGAGGUCAACUGACCAUUUUGGUCAUUUGACUUAUUUGUAGAUCUUACUUUGCUGAACAUUAUUGCUGUUUACAGUUUAUCUCUAUCUAUAAUAAUAUUCAAGAUAAUAACCAAAAACAGCAAAAUUUCCUUAAAAUUACCAUUUCAGGGGCAGCAACCCAACAACGAAAUGUCCGAUUCAACUGAAAAUUUCAGGGCAGAUAGAUCUUGACCUGAUGAACAAUUUUACUGUGUGUCAGAUUUGCUCUAAAUGCUUUGGUUUUUGAGUUAUAAGCCAAAAACUGCAUUUUACCCCUAUGUUCUAUUUUUAGCCAUGGCGGCCAUCUUGGUUGGUUGGGCGGGGCACCGGACACAUUUUUUAAACUAGAUACCCCAAUGAUGAUUAUGGCCAAGUUUGGUUAAAUUUGACCCAGUAGUUUCAGAGGAGAAGAUUUUUCUAAAAGAUUACUAAGAUUUACGAAAAAUGGUUAAAAAUUGACUAUAAAGGGCAAUAACUCCUAAAGUGGUCAACUGACCAUUUUGAUCAUGUAGACUUAUUUGUAGAUCUUACUUUGCUGAACAUUAUUGCUGUUUACAGUUUAUCUCUAUCUAUAAUAAUAUUCAAGAUAAUAACCAAAAACAGCAAAAUUUCCUUAAAAUUACCAUUUCAGGGGCAGCAACCCAACAACGAAAUGUCCGAUUCAACUGAAAAUUUCAGGGCAGAUAGAUCUUGACCUGUUGAACAAUAUUACCCCAUGUCAGAUUUGCUCUAAAUGCUUUGGUUUUUGAGUUAUAAGCCAAAAACUGCAUUUUACCCCUAUGUUCUAUUUUUAGCCAUGGCGGCCAUCUUGGUUGGUUGGCCGGGUCACCGGACACAUUUUUUAAACUAGAUACCCCAAUGAUGAUUGUGGCCAAGUUUGGUUAAAUUUGGCCCAGUAGUUUCAGAGGAGAAGAUUUUUGUAAAAGUUAACGCAGGACGACGACGACGACGACGACGACGACGACGGACGACGACGACGCCGGACGCCAAGUGAUGAGAAAAGCUCACUUGGCCCUUUGGGCCAGGUGAGCUAAAAAGUAAUAUUACAGUUUUCAGUAAUUGCCUGGACUGUGAUAACAGCAAAAUAAAAUUUCAUGUAGACAAGAAAAGAUACCAAAGAAGACAUCAUAAGUCUUAGCUUGUGUCUCAUUCCCUUUGAUGAUUACAAAUAAAAUAUGUUUAUAUUAAGGGGGCUCUCCAGUAUAAAUCUUUUUUUUCUUUCUAAUAUAUGAUUUCUUUAUAUUUUUCUAUAAACAUGAUAAAUGAACUUUAUUAUAUACUUAAUAGAACAAGAGGCUCUCAAGAGCCUGAAUCGCUCACCUGGUAAAUAAUGCCUUAUUGAACAUAUUGAACCAUGCCAGGCAAACAUGUACAGCUAACAAUUCUUCAAUAUUAGAAAUACAAGUUCUACCAUGUUUACACGUUUCCUUCUAAUAUAAUAUGCAUACAAGAAGAGCGGCAGGACGUUAUUUUUAUUACAUUAUAGUUACAAUAAAAGAAUUUUAACAAUAAAAUUGUUAUUGUUACAUUAUUAAAUUGUUAUUCUUUCGAAUUUCUUCAUUCAUGAUUUGAAUUUAUUCCACUGCUGAGAAGGGGCAAGGGGCUCCAAUAACAGCAAAACAGUUAAAUGAUUUCAUUAAUAACAGUUAGGCAUGGACCAUUUAACUUGUAGGGGGACAUGGUUUUUUUCUGGUCAGAAUAUUUUCUAUUUUUUGGAAGUAGCACAACAAAUUAUUUUUUUUGCAAAUUGCAAAUUGAAAAUUUCAGGACAGGUAGACCUUGACCUAAUAAAUAUUUUAACUUCUAGUCUUAUUUGCUCUAAAUGCUGGAGUUUUUUAGAUAUAAGCCAAAAACUGCA
rnacentral:lncRNA from 1 species